GAUGAACGCUGGCGGCGUGCCUAAUACAUGCAAGUCGAGCGAACAGACGAGGAGCUUGCUCCUCUGACGUUAGCGGCGGACGGGUGAGUAACACGUGGAUAACCUACCUAUAAGACUGGGAUAACUUCGGGAAACCGGAGCUAAUACCGGAUAAUAUAUUGAACCGCAUGGUUCAAUAGUGAAAGACGGUUUUGCUGUCACUUAUAGAUGGAUCCGCGCCGCAUUAGCUAGUUGGUAAGGUAACGGCUUACCAAGGCAACGAUGCGUAGCCGACCUGAGAGGGUGAUCGGCCACACUGGAACUGAGACACGGUCCAGACUCCUACGGGAGGCAGCAGUAGGGAAUCUUCCGCAAUGGGCGAAAGCCUGACGGAGAAACGCCGCGUGAGUGAUGAAGGUCUUCGGAUCGUAAAACUCUGUUAUUAGGGAAGAAAAAAUGUGUAAGUAACUAUGCACGUCUUGACGGUACCUAAUCAGAAAGCCACGGCUAACUACGUG
rnacentral:rRNA from 1 species